CGAGCGGAUGAAGUGAGCUUGCUCACGGAUUCAGCGGCGGACGGGUGAGUAAUGCCUAGGAAUCUGCCUGGUAGUGGGGGACAACGUUUCGAAAGGAACGCUAAUACCGCAUACGUCCUACGGGAGAAAGCAGGGGACCUUCGGGCCUUGCGCUAUCAGAUGAGCCUAGGUCGGAUUAGCUAGUUGGUGAGGUAAUGGCUCACCAAGGCUACRAUCCGUAACUGGUCUGAGAGGAUGAUCAGUCACACUGGAACUGAGACACGGUCCAGACUCCUACGGGAGGCAGCAGUGGGGAAUAUUGGACAAUGGGCGAAAGCCUGAUCCASCCAUGCCGCGUGUGUGAARAAGGUCUUCGGAUUGUAAAGCACUUUAAGUUGGGAGGAAGGGUUGUAGAUUAAUACUCUGCAAUUUUGACGUUACCGACAGAAUAASCACCGGCUAACUCUGUGCCAGCAGCCGCGGUAAUACAGAGGGUGCAAGCGUUAAUCGGAAUUACUGGGCGUAAAGCGCGCGUAGGUGGUUCGUUAAGUUGGAUGUGAAAUCCCCGGGCUCAACCUGGGAACUGCAUCCAAAACUGGCGAGCUAGAGUAUGGUAGAGGGUGGUGGAAUUUCCUGUGUAGCGRURAAAUGCGUAGAUAUAGGAAGGAACACCAGUGGCGAAGGCGACCACCUGGACUGAUACUGACACUGACGUGCAACAA
rnacentral:rRNA from 1 species